rnacentral:rRNA from 1 species
GAGUAACACGUGAGCAACCUGCCCCUGACUCUGGGAUAAGCCCGGGAAACUGGGUCUAAUACCGGAUAUGACCACUUCGGGCAUCCGAUGGUGGUGGAAAGUUUUUCGGUCGGGGAUGGGCUCGCGGCCUAUCAGCUUGUUGGUGGGGUAGUGGCCUACCAAGGCGACGACGGGUAGCCGGCCUGAGAGGGCGACCGGCCACACUGGGACUGAGACACGGCCCAGACUCCUACGGGAGGCAGCAGUGGGGAAUAUUGCGCAAUGGGCGGAAGCCUGACGCAGCGACGCCGCGUGGGGGAUGACGGCCUUCGGGUUGUAAACCUCUUUCAGCAGGGACGAAGUUGACGUGUACCUGCAGAAGAAGCGCCGGCUAACUACGUGCCAGCAGCCGCGGUAAUACGUAGGGCGCAAGCGUUGUCCGGAAUUAUUGGGCGUAAAGAGCUCGUAGGUGGCUGGUCGCGUCUGCCGUGAAAGCCCGCAGCUUAACUGCGGGUCUGCGGUGGAUACGGGCCGGCUAGAGGUAGGCAGGGGCAAGUGGAAUUCCUGGUGUAGCGGUGAAAUGCGCAGAUAUCAGGAGGAACACCGGUGGCGAAGGCGGCUUGCUGGGCCUUACCUGACGCUGAGGAGCGAAAGCGUGGGGAGCGAACAGGAUUAGAUACCCUGGUAGUCCACGCCGUAAACGUUGGGCGCUAGGUGUGGGACCCUUCCACGGGUUCCGUGCCGGAGCUAACGCAUUAAGCGCCCCGCCUGGGGAGUACGGCCGCAAGGCUAAAACUCAAAGGAAUUGACGGGGGCCCGCACAAGCGGCGGAGCAUGUUGCUUAAUUCGACGCAACGCGAAGAACCUUACCAAGGUUUGACAUCACCCGGACACUCCCAGA